GCGUUCAGACCGGAUGUGCUGUGUAUAAAGACCGUGGUCCGAGUUCCGAUCGGGCGCUAAGGGAGUAUAAAAACUUGUCUUUUAAUUAAAGACUGGCAUGAAGGGUCAAUAAGGUUUAAGCUCUAAUAAAAAACCCAGGAAACUUAACUUUGGUGUGAAAAGGCACCAAUCUAUUAUUUGGACGAGAAGACCCUAUAAACCUUUCACUAAAUCACUAUCAUUAAAUCAUUAGUGUUGUUUGGGACAAACUAUAAAAAUAAAAUAAUAAUCACAUCUGCCAACUUGACCCCCAUAGGACCACAAGAUAAAGGUCCUUUAGGGAUAACAGCACAACGAUCGCUUGGAGCCCCUAUCGAGGCGAUCACCUGUGACCUCGAUGUUGAAUUAAGAAAACCCUAGGGGCAGCCCCUUAGGAAAAAAGUCUGUUCGACUUUUCUUCUU
rnacentral:rRNA from 1 species